AUUUAGGAAGAAUACAAGCUUUCCAAGAGGACACAAAACUGUGUAUUCAAAUCGUCACCUCCAAAAUGUUCCCCUGUCCUAUUUGUGGGAAAAGCUUUAUGGUUAUUCAAUCCCAUUGAAAAAUAGUUCAUAAAGUUAGCAACACAGAGGAGAGAAAGCUCCUUCUAGAUCUGGUUAAGGAUAGAGGGGUGGUCCGAAACACACAUUGUCCCCUGUGCCUGCAGAAGACUUCCAAGCCAUCUCGGCACAUUCAGCUGAAACACAAGAUUGCUGAUGCAGAUAUCAAAGCACAACUGUCCAUCUUAAGAAAAGGCCUCACACUCUCCAAGUUAAAGGCUCUCAGAAUGACCAAUCCACCUUGUCCACUGGUCACUGACUUUGACCUGAAGGAGCUGGACAAUGAGGGUGAAACCACAGUGGAGACAUGUCCCUGGAAGAAGGCUCCCUAUCAUCUCAGUUGAACGUGAGUGAAGACAAGUCCCAUGAAGAAGGUUCCCUUUUGGCUCUACUGAAUGACAGUGAAGACAUGUCCCUGCAGGAAGAUCCCUUUUCCUGCCUUGCAGACUUUUCCCUGGGAGAAUGUUCCUUUUCAUCUCUGUUAGGAGAGCUGGAGUUUCCUGAACUCUAAGGGAAACAAGACAAGAGAAGAUUCGGUGAAACCCUCCACACACCUUCUUCUGGAUCUUUGAUAAGUACAGGUAAGCCUAAAAGUAUUCAUACCCAUGCCAAAUUUUGAGCCAUAGUGAAUUUUUAUUUGACCAUUAGGUUUCUUCUGGGAUAUGAAUAAUGUUGCACAAGGCGUUUUCCUUAAAAUAAAUAGUUACAUUUGUAUUUCCAGCACAAUGGUCAAAUAAAAAUUCACUACAGCAAGGGGUAUGAAUACUUUUUGGCUUAACUGUUCAAUUGAAUUAUUUAUAAUUGUCAAAAGUGGCAUAAACAGGGUUGUUAUUGUUGGCACAUCCGUUCUUGUUUAAAUAUUAAUUGUUGUUAUUGAUAUUUAUUGUUGAAAUUGUUCACUUAUAUUUACUUUUCUAUAGUUUGUUUUUUGCAAUUAAUAGUUGAAUUGUUUAUUCUCAUUUUUCUUUAUUAGAGAAAUAUAUUGUUAAGGUGUUAUUGCACUUUCAACUCUAAAUGUACUGACAGUCAAACUCAAUAGAUCAAUUUGGCUAAGGACUGUAAUAUGUUUUGAAGCGAAAACAUAUCUCUUAGUGUUUAUGAAGUAUUUAUAAUUGACAAAAGUGGCAUAAACAGGGUUGUUGUUGUUGGCACAUCUGUUCUUGUUUAAAUAUUAAUUGUUGUUAUUGAUAAAGUGUCAUUUAUUUAUUGUUGAAAUUGUUCUUUUAUAUUGACUUUUCUUUUUUGCAAUUAAUAGUUGAA